rnacentral:misc_RNA from 1 species
AGUUUAAAGUACAGAACGAAAGUUUUAAAAUAUAUACAAUUUUUGUAUUUUACGAUUUGUGUGAGUCAAAAAAUAGUAGUAAUAGUAGUAAAAAUCAUCAAAAUCGGUACGCCCAGGGAAGUCGACGAAAAAAUAGUCAAGUAAAUACGCAUUAUUAGAUAUGACUCGAAAAGUACAUGUCAGAUCCCAAUUAAAUUUAAAUGACACUACAUGACAAACACUACUUUUCGAU